GAUGAAGAACGUAGCGAAAUGCGAUAAGUAAUGUGAAUUGCAGAAUUCCGUGAAUCAUCGAAUCUUUGAACGCACAUUGCGCCCGCCAGUAUUCUGGCGGGCAUGCCUGUUCGAGCGUCAUUACAACCCUCAGGCCCCCGGGCCUGGCGUUGGGGAUCGGCGGAAGCCCCCUGCGGGCACAACGCCGUCCCCCAAAUACAGUGGCGGUCCCGCCGCAGCUUCCAUUGCGUAGUAGCUAACACCUCGCAACUGGAGAGCGGCGCGGCCACGCCGUAAAACACCCAACUUCUGAAUGUUGACCUCGAAUCAGGUAGGAAUACCCGCUGAACUUAAGCAUAUCAAUAAGCGGAGA
rnacentral:misc_RNA from 1 species